rnacentral:rRNA from 1 species
AAACUAGCACCUCAAGUGGUCAGGAUGAUUAUUGGGCCUAAAGCAUCCGUAGCCUGCUUUGUAAGUUUUCGGUUAAAUCUGUACGCUUAACGUACAGGCUGCCGGGAAUACUGCAAAGCUAGGGAGUGGGAGAGGUAGACGGUACUCGGGAGGAAGGGGUAAAAUCCUUUGAUCUCUCGAUGACCACCUGUGGCGAAGGCGGUCUACCAGAACACGUCCGACGGUGAGGGAUGAAAGCUGGGGGAGCAAACCGGAUUAGAAACCCCGGUAGUCC